rnacentral:hammerhead_ribozyme from 1 species
AUCCGUCUGACGAGUCCCAAAUAGAACGAAACAUGCGUCCUGGAU